rnacentral:rRNA from 1 species
AUUAACGAGUUGAACGGGGUUGUAGCUGGCCUUCACAGGCAUGUGCACACCUCACUCAUCCACUCUACACCUGUGCACUUACUGUGGGUUUCGAGAGGCCGCGCUUGCGUGGUUGAUCGGGCUCACGUCUAUUACAAACUCUUCAGUAUCAGAAUGUGUAUCGCGAUGUAACGCAUCUAUAUACAACUUUCAGCAACGGAUCUCUUGGCUCUCGCAUCGAUGAAGAACGCAGCGAAAUGCGAUAAGUAAUGUGAAUUGCAGAAUUCAGUGAAUCAUCGAAUCUUUGAACGCACCUUGCGCUCCUUGGUAUUCCGAGGAGCAUGCCUGUUUGAGUGUCGUGUAAUUCUCAACCUAUAAAUCCUUGUGGUUUUUAGGCUUGGACUUGGAGGCUUUUGCUGGCUUUACCGUCGGCUCCUCUUAAAUGCAUUAGCUUGAUUCCUUGCGGAUCGGCUCUCAGUGUGAUAAUUAUCUGCGCUGUGACCGUGAAGCGUUUGGCGAGCUUCUAACCGUCUCUUUGAGACAAACACUUUGACAUCUGACCUCAAAUCAGGUAGGACUACCCGCUGAACUUAAGCAUAUCAAUAAGCGGAGGAAAAGAAACUAACAAGGAUUCCCCUAGUAAC